AAGGGUUUUAAGUUGCAUAAGUAGAUGCUUCUGCAUACUCAGAAAAGAAAAUGCAAUCUGCAAAAAAUAAUCUUUAAAUUUGUUGAAUUCUUUUGAAGGGUGACUGUUAAAUUUUACAGGUAAAGGAAAGAUACUUUGGAUUAAACAAUAUCAAGGUCCUUUAAAGUUUUGCCAGCAGCAGAGAUGAGGGAAGUAAUUUGGGCUUAGAGACAUACACAAUAUUAUAAUAUAAUCAAAAGAAGAGUGACACUUCAGACUGUAACAUUAUUUCACUGAAUAAAACUUUGUUAACUUGGCUUAGGAUAUGACUCAUAUAGCAUCAAAGACAGAUAUGAAAGAAGAGAAAACAAAAAAAAAAAAAAAAAGAUGGUAAAGGAAAAGAAUAUAUCUAAAUGUAAGUAAAUUUGUAUAUGAUUCUCUAUCUUAGCUUUAUUGAAGUAAUAAUCUUUAUCCUGAGACAGGAUUAAGACCAUUUCUGUUUUCUUUAUCUAUUUAUUUAUUUAGUCUGAUUUGGGCCCUAAUAAAAGAUUAGCUAAAUGAUAAUCAGACAUGGUGCAGUGGUACACUGUAUCAUAAUGUGUCUGUAGUAACCAUUAACAGCUCUAUCAUUAACAAUUGUCUACUGUCUGUCUGAAAUAUUUAAGAGUGGGAAUCACCUUACUCUAACUGCCUGAAAUUUAGAUGUCUACAUUAGUCAAUCAUUUGGGCUCCUUUCAUAGACACGUUUAGAGGGUGAUUCAUCCCCUACUAAUAUAAACUGGGUGAAUCAUGCCCUAGAUACUCUCUUUACUUCCUGAGAACUAUGCUCUUCCUAUGAAGAAACAAAAAACAACCACGUGAACUCUGUUUCCAGUUCCAGCUAAUAAACAUAACUGAAAUCCCAAGCAUCAGUUAUGUGUAAAAAACUGCUGCACAUGAUCUAUGGACUGAAAGGGCUGCCAUUCAGCAAUUAUCAGCCCUGUGACACUACAGGCUCAAACUACAGGCAUUGUAAGUUUUCUGCUUGCCCUCCAACCAUCCCUACCUAUUGCCCAUCUACACUG
rnacentral:lncRNA from 1 species